AAGCAUUGCCUAGUACGGCGAGUGAGCGGCACAGCUCAAAUUUGAAAUCUGGCGUCUUUGGCGUCCGAGUUGUAAUUUGCAGAGGGCGCUUUGGCAUUGGCAGCGGUCCAAGUUCCUUGGAACAGGACGUCACAGAGGGUGAGAAUCCCGUACGUGGUCGCUAGCCUUUACCGUGUAAAGCCCCUUCGACGAGUCGAGUUGUUUGGGAAUGCAGCUCUAAAUGGGAGGUAAAUUUCUUCUAAAGCUAAAUACUGGCCAGAGACCGAUAGCGCACAAGUAGAGUGAUCGAAAGAUGAAAAGCACUUUGGAAAGAGAGUUAAAAAGCACGUGAAAUUGUUGAAAGGGAAGCGCUUGCAGCCAGACUUGCCUGUAGUUGCUCAUCCGGGUUUUUACCCGGUGCACUCUUCUACGGGCAGGCCAGCAUCAGUUUGGGCGGUUGGAUAAAGGUCUCUGUCAUGUACCUCCUCUCGGGGAGAUCUUAUAGGGGAGACGACAUGCAACCAGCCUGGACUGAGGUCCGCGCAUCUGCUAGGAUGCUGGCGUAAUGGCUGUAAGCGGCCCGUCUUGAACCCACGGGACCA
rnacentral:rRNA from 1 species